GCAGCCCGGGGGUUUUGCCACACAUAGCCAGCCAGUCGUAUGGCGGCCUCACAGGCUCAUCGCCCUGCCGGGCAUGGGGUGUGAGCCUCCCUCCGUAGGAGGCUUC
rnacentral:SRP_RNA from 14 species